ensembl:lncRNA
AAUGAGUGUCGAGCAGCACUCAGUGUUAUUCAGGACCCUGAAGGAAAAUGGCGCCACAGUCAGGAUCACACGGUCAUGUGGCGCAGGAUGAUCACGUCACUGUCCUGGACACGAACUUGCCAGAAGCUGUUCUCAGUUUUGGUAAUAAUAUUAUUACCAAAAGUCACCCGGGUCAAAUAGGGUGGCAUUCCAAAUUUGCUUCCACAUUCGAAACUGUAACGAGGACACGGAAAUAUACAACAGGUAAAUUACUUUCAUUCAUAAUGACCAUCUGGAUUUAUGAAAUUAUGUUUUAUUUGAAAUCGUUUAAUGUAUCAGAUUAUGUGGAGGAAGUAAACUGGGAUGCAGGACUCCAUUACAAUGCACCAGAUGAUUGAUGAAUGAGGGUUGAGGACCAAAAAGGGAUACAUUUUGACUACACAACCUACUUGAAGCUUGAGACUGAAUCUUUCAAAUCAUUCAACGCCCACAGGAGUCGCUGGUCGCAGUCCGUAGUAGGUUUGUAUUCAAUACUCUUGCCAUCAGCAGUCACCACCAGUUUAAAGUUCACUUCAACAGCACAAGGAAAACAUAAGGAGCAAGUAGUAGACAUAUAGCUAUGGAUGAGUAAUGAAUAGACUCUUAAUGUUUGUCCAAAAUCCGAUGGCUAACCCUUGCCCUAAAAGUCAGAGGUGGUGUAUCUCCUACCUUGAGCCAUGUCUAGAAGGUUGAUCUUCACUGGUUCUGUUCUUCUGCAGCAAUGGGAAUCGUUGGUGAGGUUACUGCUCUUGGGGCCCCUGAUUUUAUAUUCAACCUCAGGGAAGACGUCAUGGCAAGGGGAUAACCACCCAGACUAGUUCUUGGGCAAUAUGCCCGGGAACUGGCUUCCAAACCCCAACCUCAUUGAAGACCCCUGGGGGAUUUGAUCAAGAAACAUUGGAAACAGUUUAAUUGUUACCCCCAAUUCUAAAUGUGUAUAGUAUAUCAUAGAAUAAUAUCUGAAAAUACAUUGAACAACUUGCUCAACUUGUCCAAGACCACACCGACUGGGAGCUGCUGGUUUUGAUUGUAAACAAGACCUAAUGUGGUGUGCUGUGAUGGAAAAUCUACAUGUUACGUUUUUCUUUAUGAACUUAGGGGUUUGUAUACUAUUCCGUGUAUGAUCUUGACACCCUGUUAUUCUGCAGGGUGGUCUAAAAUGUAAAUCUUAGUGUUUCGUGUGAUGUAGUCUGGUUUCACAUUCCGUUCCGUGUAUUGUCUUGCCAUCUUACUAUUCUGCAGGGUCGUAUCAAAUGUAAAUCUUAGUGUUUCAUCUGAUGUAAUCGGGUUUCACAUUCCGUUUCCGUGUUGUCUGUAGUUUGGUUUGGGCCUGUUUUCCUUGACCCCCUGGGGAGCGCAGAGAAGCAAAAGGUGAUAAGGAACAGGCUCAACCACCUUCUCAAACUCUUAAGGAACUGCAAUCAAUAGAUUAACAUCUGGUUAACAAAGGCUUUUGGUUUAUUGAGGCCCACUGCUCUCAACUCCCAUCUGAGGCCUCAGAUUAUUGUAGUGUAUGCCUGUUAUGUUGUUUGUUGAUGCAUGUUGUGAUGCAUCUUUGUUCGUACUUUUAUUACAAAUAUAUAUGACCACCUAUUGUCCACAAGUUUUGUUUGCUUUUUGCAUCUAAAUAUCUCAUGUCUUAGACGCAAACUCUGAUAGAGUAAUUGCCCCGACAGUGCAUACGUGUGUGUGUGUGUGUGUGUGUGU